rnacentral:piRNA from 1 species
UAACUUGAUUUGUGUUGUUUUAAAUACUACU